AGAAUUCUCAAUCGUAACCCUCUGACAACUGUUGAAGAUUCGUAUCUUUUUAAAUUGCCGGCAUUAAAAUAUUUAGACAUGGGAACAACACAGGUGUCACUUCCAACAAUUGAGAGCAUCCUCAUGAUGACCCGUGAAUUGGAAAAACUGAUUUUACCUAGCCAGAUGGCCUGCUGUCUCUGCCAAUUCAAAAAUAAUAUUGAGGUUGUCUGCAAGACAGUCAAGCUGCAUUGUGACAGUGAAUGUCUGACAAA